GGUAUUGAAAUAAGAUUUUAAAUGAGUGCUAAGAGAAUGAUUAAACAAUUAAAAACUUUCUUUAAUUAAAUAAUUAAAUUUAAUUUUUUUUGUGCAAAAGCAAAAAUAAAAUUUAGGGACAAGAAGACCCUAUGAAUUUUUAUUAUUAAUAUUUUGCAAUUAAAUUAUUAAUAAUUUAAUUGGGGCGAUAAAAAAAGAAUAAAUAUCUUUUUAAUUAUAAAAUAAGUUCCGUUUUUAGCGAUUGAAUGAAAAAAAUACUCUAGGGAUAACAGCGUAAUAAUUUUGGAUAGUUCAUAUAGAUAAAAUAGUUUGCGACCUCGAUGUUGGAUUAGGAUUCUUUUUUGGUGUAGAA
rnacentral:rRNA from 1 species